rnacentral:rRNA from 1 species
GAUGAACGCUGGCGGCGUGCCUAAUACAUGCAAGUCGAGCGAUCAGAUGAGGAGCUUGCUCCUCUGACGUAGCGGCGGACGGGUGAGUAACACGUGGAUAACCUACCUAUAAGACUGGGAUAACUUCGGGAAACCGGAGCUAAUACCGGAUAAUAUAUUGAACCGCAUGGUUCAAUAGUGAAAGACGGUUUUGCUGUCACUUAUAGAUGGAUCCGCGCCGCAUUAGCUAGUUGGUAAGGUAACGGCUUACCAAGGCAACGAUGCGUAGCCGACCUGAGAGGGUGAUCGGCCAAACUGGAACUGAGACACGGUCCAGACUCCUACGAGAGGCAGCAGUAGGGAAUCUUCCGCAAUGGGCGAAAGCCUGACGGAGCAACGCCGAGUGAGUGAUGAAGGUCUUCGGAUCGUAAAACUCUGUUAUUAGGGAAGAACAAAUGUGUAAGUAACUAUGCACGUCUUGACGGUACCUAAUCAGAAAGCCACGGCUAACUACGUG